rnacentral:rRNA from 1 species
AGAGUUUGAUCAUGGCUCAGGAUGAACGCUAGCUACAGGCUUAACACAUGCAAGUCGAGGGGAAACGACAUCGAAAGCUUGCUUUUGAUGGGCGUCGACCGGCGCACGGGUGAGUAACGCGUAUCCAACCUGCCCAUCACUUGGGGAUAACCUUGCGAAAGUAAGACUAAUACCCAAUGAUAUCUCUAGAAGACAUCUGAAAGAGAUUAAAGAUUUAUCGGUGAUGGAUGGGGAUGCGUCUGAUUAGCUUGUUGGCGGGUAACGCCACAAGGCUACGAUCAGUAGGGUUCUGAGAGGAAGGUCCCCCANAUUGGAACUGAGACACGGUCCAAACUCCCACGGGAGCA